UACAGAGGUCUCAAGCGUUGUUCGGAUUCAUUGGGCGUAAAGGGUGCGUAGGCGGCGCGGUAAGUCGGGUGUGAAAUCUCGGAGCUUAACUUCGAAACUGCAUUCGAUACUGCCGUGCUUGAGGACUGGAGAGGAGACUGGAAUUUACGGUGUAGCGGUGAAAUGCGUAGAUAUCAGGAGGAACACCAAUGGCGAAGGCAGCACUCUGGGACGUGACUGACGCUGAGACGCAAAAGCGUGGGGAGCAAACAGG
rnacentral:rRNA from 1 species